GGCCUGCCGGAAGCUAAGAUGGCGCUGACGUGUUCUUCAGGCUUAAGUUGGCUCCUUGUCAGUAUCUAAGCGGGGUGUUUUGGAAGGGGCUGAGGCAAACGCCCUCUGCGCCACCAUGGCCCGGCAUCGGAAUGUCUGAGGCUAUAACUACGAUGAAGAUUUUGAAGAUGAUGAUCUCUAUGGCCAGUCUGUAGAGGAUGAUUAUUGUAUUUCUCCAUCAACAGCUGCUCAGUUUAUUUACUCACGACGUGACAAACCUUCUGUUGUUGAGCCUGUAGAAGAAUAUGAUUAUGAAGAUCUAAGAGAGCCUUCCAAUUCUCUUUCAAACCAUCAGCUAAGUGCAAUUGAUCAAGCUCGCCUUUAUUCAUGCCUGGAUCACAUGAGAGUGGUACUUGGAGAUGCUGUGCCAGAUGAAAUAUUGAUCGAAGCAGUUCUGAAGAACAAGUUUGAUGUGCAGAAGGCUUUGUCAGUGGUUCUGGAACAAGAUAACAUGCAGAAUUUGAAAGACAAGAGUGAAGGAACAAUGUCUACAGGAAGGAUAGAAAAAGGAAAAUCAGUAGGUUCCCAGUUAUCUCGAAAUGAAUCUGAAAUUGUGCCAAAAGUUGCUAAAAUGACAGUAUCUGGAAAGAAGCAAACUAUGGGAUUUGAAGUACCUGGAGUAACUUCUGAAGCAAAUGAUCAUAAUUUCCACACACCUCAAAAAGGACCGCCUAGAGAAGAUGCCAGCAUUGCUACUUCUGAUGUUCUUGAGAUGAUGUCUAAGUCAGCAAUUCCACCCCACACCAUUCAGGCAUCAGAAGAGCAGAGUUCAACACCAACGCCAGUGAAAAGGUCUGGCAAGCUGAGGCAGCAAAUAGAUGUGAAAGCGGAACUGGAGAAGCGGCAAGGAGGGAAGCAGCUCCUCAACUUAGUGGUCAUUGGUCAUGUUGAUGCUGGGAAAAGUACUCUGAUGGGCCAUAUGCUUUAUCUUCUGGGCAAUGUAAACAAAAGAACUAUGCAUAAGUAUGAGCAGGAGUCUAAGAAGGCUGGCAAAGCUCGUUUGCAUAUGCAUGGGUUUUGGAUGAGACUGGUGAAAAAAGGGAAAGGGGAGUAACAAUGGAUGUUGGGAUGACAAAGUUUGAAACCACAACCAAAGUUAUUACAUUAAUGGAUGCUCCAGGCCAUAAGGAUUUCAUUCCAAAUAUGAUUACAGGAGCAGCCCAGGCGGAUGUAGCUGUUUUAGUUGUAGAUGCCAGCAGGGGAGAGUUUGAAGCUGGAUUUGAGACUGGAGGACAAACACUAGAGCAUGGCCUCUUGGUCCGUUCUCUGGGAGUGACACAGCUUGCAGUUGCAGUCAAUAAAAUGGAUCAGGUUAAUUGGCAACAGGAAAGAUUUCAAGAGAUUACUGGAAAACUUGGACAUUUUCUUAAGCAAGCAGGUUUUAAGGAGGGUGAUGUGGCUUUUAUCCAUCCCUACAAGUGGUCUCAGUGGCGACAAUCUAAUCACAAGAUCUCAGUCAAGCGAACUUACGAAAUGGUAUAAAGGAGUAUGUUUAUUAGAACAAAUUGAUUCCUUCAAGCCUCCCCAACGAUCUAUUGACAAGCCUUUUUGAUUAUGUGUGUCUGAUGUUUUCAAAGAUCAAGGAUCUGGAUUUUGGGUAACUGGUAAAAUUGAAGCUGGUUAUAUACAAACUGGUGACCGACUUCUAGCAAUGCCUCCUAAUGAAACUUGUACUGCAAAAGGAAUUACUCUGCAUGAUGAACCUGUUGAUUGGGCGGCGGCGGGUGAUCAUGUUAGUCUUACUUUGGUUGGGAUGGAUAUCAUCAAAAUCAACGUUGGCUACAUAUUUUGUGGCCCCAAAGAACUCAUUAAAGCUUGUACUCGUUUCCAAGCCCGAAUCCUCAUCUUUAAUAUUGAAAUUCCUAUCACUAAAGGAUUUCCUGUGCUGUUACACUACCAAACUGUCAGUGAACCUGCCGUUAUUAAACGAUUGAUUAGCGUCUUAAACAAAAGCACGGGUGAAGUCACAAAGAAAAAGCCUAAGUUGUUGACUAAAGGCCAGAAUGCAUUGGUAGAGUUACAGAGACAGCGACCAAUUGCUCUUGAGCUAUACAAAGACUUUAAAGAGCUGAGGAGGUUUAUGCUGCGUUACAGUGGUUCCACAAUAGCUGCUGGUGUUGUCACUGAGAUAAAAGAAUGAUGGGUCAGAAUUUCUACGACGUGUCCAAAUUCAAUGAAAUAGCUAACCUCAGUUUUAAAGAAUCCAGUUAUUCAGUCAAAAGAACAAUGUGAAAUUGAUAUUUUUUUA